rnacentral:rRNA from 1 species
GACGAACGCUGGCGGCGUGCUUAACACAUGCAAGUCGAACGCUGAAGCUCAGCUUGCUGGGUGGAUGAGUGGCGAACGGGUGAGUAACACGUGAGUAACCUGCCCCCUUCUUUGGGAUAACGCCCGGAAACGGGUGCUAAUACUGGAUAUUCACUGAUCUUCGCAUGGGGGUUGGUGGAAAGGUUUGUUCUGGUGGGGGAUGGGCUCGCGGCCUAUCAGCUUGUUGGUGGGGUGAUGGCCUACCAAGGCUUUGACGGGUAGCCGGCCUGAGAGGGUGACCGGUCACAUUGGGACUGAGAUACGGCCCAGACUCCUACGGGAGGCAGCAGUGGGGAAUAUUGCACAAUGGGCGCAAGCCUGAUGCAGCGACGCCGCGUGAGGGAUGGAGGCCUUCGGGUUGUAAACCUCUUUCGCUCAUGGUCAAGCCGCAACAGUGGUUGCGGUGAGGGUAGUGGGUAAAGAAGCGCCGGCUAACUACGUGCCAGCAGCCGCGGUAAUACGUAGGGCGCGAGCGUUGUCCGGAAUUAUUGGGCGUAAAGGGCUUGUAGGCGGUUGGUCGCGUCUGCCGUGAAAUCCUCUGGCUUAACUGGGGGCGUGCGGUGGGUACGGGCUGACUUGAGUGCGGUAGGGGAGACUGGAACUCCUGGGUGUAGCGGUGGAAUGCGCAGAUAUCAGGAAGAACACCGGUGGGCGAAGGCGGGUCUCUGGGCCGUUACUGACGCUGAGGAGCGAAAGCGUGGGGAGCGAACACG